AGAAUGAACGCUGGCGGCGUGCUUAACACAUGCAAGUCGAACGGAAUCCAAGGAGCUUGCUCUGGAAGAUUUAGUGGCGAACGGGUGAGUAUCACGUGAGCAACCUGCCCCGAAGACUGGGAUAACACCGGGAAACCGGUGCUAAUACCGGAUACCUUCCAAUGACCGCAUGGUCGAUGGAAGAAAUGUUUUUCGCUUCGGGAGGGGCUCGCGGUCCAUCAGCUUGUUGGCGGGUAACGGCCACCAAGGCUUCGACGGAUAGCUGGUCUGAGAGGACGAUCAGCCACACUGGAACUGAGACACGGUCCAGACUCCUACGGGAGGCAGCAGUGGGGAAUCUUGCGCAAUGGACGAAAGUCUGACGCAGCAAACGCCGCGUGAGGGACGAAGGUUUCUGAAUUGUAAACCUCUUUACGACAGGGACAUAAUGACGGUACCUGUAGAAGAAGCACCGGCCAACUAUAGCGCCAGCAGCCGCGGU
rnacentral:rRNA from 1 species